rnacentral:lncRNA from 1 species
UUGUUGAGUGGUGAUGGUGGAUGUUCGUUUGUAGUUUGGAUUUUCUUACUGUGUUCUUAGUUUGAAGAUAAAACUUAAAACCAAAAAAAAACAAAACACAGGUGAGAAACAUGUAUUUAAAUGUGUUUAUGAAGGGAGAUGGUUCAUGUGUGUGAUGACUUUGUAACAAGGUGAUGGCUGUUAUGGUGAGAGGAAAAAAAUAAUAAGAAGUGAAGUAGUCUAUGUAUGAGUCUUUGAGAGGUUUAUG